CUCCCGCAUAAGAAUUCAAAUGGAAUAAGAAAAUAAACAUAUCAUUCAGAUUCAAUUGUCACAAAUAUAUCAAAAACUCCACCAAAAUUAAACAAUAAAAUGAGAUAGUAGAUUGCUAAAACUCACUUAGAUAAACAAUUUAUAAAACAAAACAAGUUUUGGAUUCAGCCACUCCUUGAAAGGAGUCCUAAUCUGGCUACAACAAACUAUAAAGAGAAACCUAGUCAAACAAACUAAAGCCCAUGUCAUCGUCACUUUCUUCCUUGGCUUCCUCCUACAAACACAGUAUGAAAUGCAUUAAGUUCAAUAUAUACAACAUUAUAAUCAAAACAAAUUGAAGUAAUAAGGCAUGUCUACGAAGAGCUCAUAAUUUACAAGUUACUAUAACAAAGCUAUAAUACAACAUUAAACAAUCGAAAAGACCUAAAUGUAAAAAAUGAGGAUACAGGGCCUGUUAUAAUUGGCCUACUUAAGUUUGCAUAAGUUUUGUGAGACUGUUUGGGAGAAUUCAUGAAAUCAACUUAAGACAAUUUGCACAGGCUAACAAGUUAAAUUUAUUUUAUCUUAUCUUGAGGGCUUAUCAAGAAAAGCGCUACAAAAAUAAGCUGUACAAAGUUGCAAAUCCAAAGAGUCAAAUAAUUAUAUUCAGAGUUGCCUCGAAAAGGAUAGACCGAUUGUCAAAUCCCAACGAUGAGAAAAAACGUUGUACUACUUCAGAAAUCAAAUUAACUCCAUGUUUUCGUGCAACUUAUAACAAAAGUAUUGAUGCAACAUAUUUUCUUAGAGUAAUUGCAGCUAAAUGACAGUAUUUAUCUGAUACAGAUUCACCUCAAAGCAAAAUGAGGAAUAAAAUAGCUAGAAAAAUUAUAUCUUUUAAACCCAGAUACAAGUUUUACAAAAUAGGUAUAACACCAACUUGAUCACAACACUAUAGACAAUCAAAAAACCUUCAAUAUGCUUUACAAGACAGAAGCAUAGAUAAAGAAAUUCAACAGAACAAACAAUGUCAAUCAAAUCAAUUCAAGUUUUUAUACUAAGGAAUAUUCAAAUACUAUUAUACAACCUCUUUUUCAGAACUAGAGGAAUUCAUUUAACACUACAAUACAGAUAAAUCCUAUUAGUUUUUAUAGUAAGGAAUAUUGCAAUACUAUCAAAACCGUAUCUAAUUUCAAUCCUAUUGGUUCAUUUCACCAUUCAGUAAAUCAUCUUUACACAAUUUCAUACAAAAAUCAGAAUCAAAAAAGAAAGAAUUAAAAUUGAUACCUUCUUUUCCACGGCGGCAGGUUCGGCUGCUGCUGCGGUUCCACCACCAGCAGCAGGUGCAGAUACGGCAACGGCGGCACCACCAACAGCGCCGGAGUUCAAAACGAGAUCAUCAACGUUCUUGCUCUGAGCAAGCUUAGCGAAUAGGCUUGGCCAGUAAGAUUCAACGGUGACGUUAGCAGCCUUCAACAAAGUGCCGAUCUUCUCCGCCUAAACAAAAACCCAAAAAGUAACACAAAAAUGAGAUCUAUGAGCGAUUUGGAGAUUAUUGAAAUCGAAUUGAAGAGAUAUAAUAGACUUACGGUGAUUGGGAUUCCAUCGUCGUGGAGGAUCAAGGUGGCGUAAAUGCAGCCCAAUUCGCCGGAACUCAUUUUGUGAAUUGUGAUUGUUCUGCC
rnacentral:lncRNA from 1 species